CUGGGUUCAAGCGAUUCUCCUGCCCCAGCCUCCCGAGUAGCUGGGACUACAGGCACUCAUCACAGCACCUGGCAUAUGGCAGGCCUUCAGUCCAAAGAUGGAAUGACAACUGGCAAUGUUCAAAUUGGUGGCUGCUCUAUCAACUUCGAACCUGGAGUAAAGACAGCACAAAACAAAGCCCACGACAGUCUCACAAUGCGUGUUUGAAGCCACUCACUUGGGGGUUGUUACUGCAGCACAACGCAGCCCAUCCUGACUGAUACAGGGUCAUGUCUGGUGAGUCAAAGCUGCCAUGAGCCUGGCGAAAACCUACCAAGGCCCAUCCUUUUCUUAAACCUGAGUUUGGAGACUCCAAGCCCACUUCCCUGGUCUCUCAGAUAAACCUCCUGCAGAGGAAAGAAAGAUAUUCCUUGGUGGCCCGAUUGGAAUGAAAAACUUCAGGAUUGAGAAGGCAGGGGAUUCUUAGACCUUAAAAAGCAAUCUAUGUUAGACAAGUUCGAGGCUGAGUGAGUCAUUUCCCAGUUGAACGUCCUUGGGCUGGUGGAAGAUUAAAUGAAGUACAUACACCAAGUGCCUAACACAGCACGCUGUGAGCUCUGGACACAAAGAUACUCACCAAAACCUUGUCGUUAAUUAGAAACCAAGAAUCCAACAAUAGAGGAACAGUUAACUAAUUAUGGUACGUUCAUGUACUGCUACAUAGCUAAAAGGGGGGAAAGAAAGGAAGAUGGUAGGGCAAUGUAAUAUGUAGGUUAUAAUAGAACAUUGUUAAGUGAAAAGAGCACAUUAUCAAACAGGUUAGCUUUGGAAACAGACCCAGAAUUGAGUCCCAGCUCUCCUAGCUGUGUGUCUUG